GAAGUUCGUGCCUUUUGCAGUGGGGAGGAGCCUGGCCCUUCCUCUUCCUGGGUGUUACCUGGAAUUCAAUCUGCCAGGUGGGAAGCAUGUACUAACGAGACUCUCAGUCUUCCUUUGUGGAGAGUCCCUGUUUCCUUUUCUUUUCCCUUUUCACCCAAUAAAUUCCUUUUUUCUCCCCUUUUAAAUUAUAUGUGAGCCUUUUUUCAUGAUCAUGUGACGAGGACCCUGUCUUUAGCUGAGCUACGGAGAGAGUCCUGCAACACCUUCACGUAGACAUUCUUGAGAAUGGAGCUAUUCUGGAGAGAGAAUGGCAGUGGAUUAAAAGUUCUGAACCUGCCUGGGUCUCAAUCACAGAAACCUGAAACAGCCAUUGGACCCCCAUUGCUAAUCCCUGUGCAGUCUGUAGUCACACCUGGAGUGUCAGCUUUUAUAGGUGGAGAUUGAAGUUGGGAAAAGCAAUCACUUUCAGAAAGCAAACCCUCUUGUUCCUGGUGCUCAGCUGGAAGAUUGCCCCGGCCUCUGGGUUUAGUGAAUAAUAAACUUCCAAACUUCCUUCCUUCACAACCACUGACCAUGACUAACUCUUUGUGAAAGAACUCUGAACACUAUAAG
rnacentral:lncRNA from 1 species